GAUGAACGCUGGCGGCGUGCCUAAUACAUGCAAGUCGAGCGAACGGACGAGAAGCUUGCUUCUCUGAUGUUAGCGGCGGACGGGUGAGUAACACGUGGAUAACCUACCUAUAAGACUGGGAUAACUUCGGGAAACCGGAGCUAAUACCGGAUAAUAUUUUGAACCGCAUGGUUCAAAAGUGAAAGACGGUCUUGCUGUCACUUAUAGAUGGAUCCGCGCUGCAUUAGCUAGUUGGUAAGGUAACGGCUUACCAAGGCAACGAUGCAUAGCCGACCUGAGAGGGUGAUCGGCCACACUGGAACUGAGACACGGUCCAGACUCCUACGGGAGGCAGCAGUAGGGAAUCUUCCGCAAUGGGCAAAAGCCUGACGGAGCAACGCCGCGUGAGUGAUGAAGGUCUUCGGAUCGUAAAACUCUGUUAUUAGGGAAGAACAUAUGUGUAAGUAACUGUGCACAUCUUGACGGUACCUAAUCAGAAAGCCACGGCUAACUACGUGCCAGCAGCCGCGGUAAUACGUAGGUGGCAAGCGUUAUCCGGAAUUAUUGGGCGUAAAGCGCGCGUAGGCGGUUUUUUAAGUCUGAUGUGAAAGCCCACGGCUCAACCGUGGAGGGUCAUUGGAAACUGGAAAACUUGAGUGCAGAAGAGGAAAGUGGAAUUCCAUGUGUAGCGGUGAAAUGCGCAGAGAUAUGGAGGAACACCAGUGGCGAAGGCGACUUUCUGGUCUGUAACUGACGCUGAUGUGCGAAAGCGUGGGGAUCAAACAGGAUUAGAUACCCUGGUAGUCCACGCCGUAAACGAUGAGUGCUAAGUGUUAGGGGGUUUCCGCCCCUUAGUGCUGCAGCUAACGCAUUAAGCACUCCGCCUGGGGAGUACGACCGCAAGGUUGAAACUCAAAGGAAUUGACGGGGACCCGCACAAGCGGUGGAGCAUGUGGUUUAAUUCGAAGCAACGCGAAGAACCUUACCAAAUCUUGACAUCCUUUGACAACUCUAGAGAUAGAGCCUUCCCCUUCGGGGGACAAAGUGACAGGUGGUGCAUGGUUGUCGUCAGCUCGUGUCGUGAGAUGUUGGGUUAAGUCCCGCAACGAGCGCAACCCUUAAGCUUAGUUGCCAUCAUUAAGUUGGGCACUCUAAGUUGACUGCCGGUGACAAACCGGAGGAAGGUGGGGAUGACGUCAAAUCAUCAUGCCCCUUAUGAUUUGGGCUACACACGUGCUACAAUGGACAAUACAAAGGGCAGCGAAACCGCGAGGUCAAGCAAAUCCCGUAAAGUUGUUCUCAGUUCGGAUUGUAGUCUGCAACUCGACUACAUGAAGCUGGAAUCGCUAGUAAUCGUAGAUCAGCAUGCUACGGUGAAUACGUUCCCGGGUCU
rnacentral:rRNA from 1 species